UUGUACAUAUUAUAACUCAUACACUUCAGUACAGUCAUUUUUACUUUAUAAACGUAGGUGGGAUUUUCUUUCCAAUAGGUAGAAAUACAAAAUACUGCUUCUGUUAUUUCUUUUCUGAUGUUUGUCUUUGUACGGGAGCUGUUGAAUCACGGGCUGAACCUCUGAUGGAUCACUUGAGGUGAGCACCGAAUCGGUCGUGGAAGCACAGGUGAAGGCAAUUCAGCUGUGUGACCGGAAGGGGCGGAGCCUGGCUCCGCCUCUCCUAAACCUCCCAUUUAAGGGCUGACUGCCGCUGGGGAAGCAUCCCUUUCUGGAGAUCACUCCCUUUGGAGUUUUUCUGCGAGUCUAGGACAUGUGGGCUGUGUUAAUACGCAAUGGAGUAAAUAACUUGUUUAUUAUUUUCCUGACGUUGGUAGGAUUUGUCUUUUUGGAAGGUUCAUGUGGUAGAGAGCCCGUGGGACCACAGCGGAAGAUGCAGACCAGGGCUUGUCUCAGAGGGUAUGGACUACAAGAAGAUCCCCCAGAAGACACAGAAUGGGAAGCAGCACCCACCACCACCCUUGGGAGCUCCGGUCACCCCGAGCUGGGAGGACAAGGCUAUUGGCAACUUCCAUCUUAUGUGAAAAUAAAGGGCCCAGAGCUUUGAGCCCUCAUGCUUUGCUCCAGAAGUCCACGGAUACCAUGUCACAGAGGACAAGGGCAUCUGGGUAAGCUGGAAGCGGCACGACCUCUCCCUCUCUUUGUCGCAAUUCGGGAAGGAAACGUUUCUGCACAAACGUGAAGAAAUACAGCAGACUUGCCUUAUUUCGGACCACAGGAGGGCGACGUUCAGCUGCAGCUGAAACAAACAGGACUUCCCAAAACAGGUUGCCCAAGGAGAUAGCGGAUGCCCCAGUCCUGGAGGUGUUCAAGGCCAGGAUGGAAGGGGGAGCCUGGUCAUCGGUCACCUUGCACGCAGCUUGAACUUAGAUGAUGAUACCCAGGCCAUUCUACGAUUCUAUCACGGAUUCUAUAUAAAGUAGGUAAGAAAAACAGCAUAGAAGAUGCUGUCUGUUAGCAAUUUGCACAGAAGGAUGCUGAUAGCAUAGCAAUGUUGUUAGUAAAAAAAAAAUAAAAAUCGAGAGGGAUAAAUCAGACAAAGGCUUUUACUAAAAGCUGUGUAUCAUACGGGAUAGAUAAAUGAAGAGUGCAGGUAUUGUGCCUGGGCUGCACAGAUCCUAGUAAAUAACAUCGAUAAGAGAUCUUAGGUCAGUUGUUGUGCAGUAUCACGGAGGGAAAAUAACAAUGACUAAGACUGAAAUAGGAGAAAAGACCUGUAAUGCAAUUAAAUUUUCUUAUGAGCAAAUGCCAGUAGUUGGACACACCUUUACUCAAAAAUUAAAAAGGGGAAAAUGUACAUCAAUGAACAGAUGAAUAAAAUUUAUUUCUCUAACAGUGAAUAUGCUUGAAGUAAUAAAAAAAUAUUCAGUGUGUUGAUGAAGAAGAAGAAGAUGAAGAUAGAAGAUGAAGAUAGAAGAUGAAGAAGAAGAUGAAGAUGAAGAUGAAGAUGAAGAUGAAGAUGAAGAUGAAGAAGAAGAUGAAGAAGAAGAUGAAGAAGAAGAUGAAGAUGAAGAUGAAGAUGAAGAAGAAGAUGAAGAAGAAGAAGAAGAAGAAGAAGAAGAAGAAGAUGAAGAUGAAGAUGAAGAAGAAGAAGAAGAAGAAGAAGAAGAAGAAGAUGAAGAAGAAGAAGAAGAAGAAGAAGAAGAUGAAGAAGAAGAAGAAGAUGAAGAUGAAGAUGAAGAUGAAGAAGAAGAAGAAGAAGAAGAAGAAGAAGAAGAAGAAGAUGAAGAUGAAGAAGAAGAUGAAGAAGAAGAAGAAGAAGAAGAAGAUGAAGAUGAAGAAGAAGAAGAAGAUGAAGAUGAAGAAGAAGAUGAAGAAGAAGAUGAAGAAGAAGAAGAUGAAGAUGAAGAUGAAGAUGAAGAAGAAGAAGAAGAAGAAGAUGAAGAAGAAGAAGAAGAAGAAGAAGAAGAUGAAGAAGAUGAAGAUGAAGAAGAAGAUGAAGAUGAAGAUGAAGAAGAAGAAGAAGAUGAAGAAGAAGAAGAAGAUGAAGAUGAAGAUGAAGAUGAAGAUGAAGAUGAAGAUGAAGAUGAAGAAGAAGAAGAAGAUGAAGAUGAAGAUGAAGAUGAAGAUGAAGAUGAAGAUGAAGAUGAAGAUGAAGAUGAAGAAGAAGAUGAAGAUGAAGAUGAAGAUGAAGAAGAAGAAGAAGAUGAAGAUGAAGAUGAAGAUGAAGAAGAAGAAGAAGAAGAAGAAGAAGAAGAAGAAGAAGAUGAAGAUGAAGAUGAAGAUGAAGAUGAAGAUGAAGAUGAAGAAGAAGAUGAAGAAGAAGAUGAAGAUGAAGAUGAAGAUGAAGAUGAAGAUGAAGAAGAAGAUGAAGAAGAAGAUGAAGAUGAAGAUGAAGAUGAAGAAGAAGAUGAAGAUGAAGAUGAAGAAGAAGAUGAAGAAGAAGAUGAAGAAGAAGAUGAAGAAGAAGAUGAAGAAGAAGAAGAAGAAGAAGAAGAUGAAGAUGAAGAUGAAGAA
ensembl:lncRNA